rnacentral:rRNA from 1 species
GGUGGAGGAUAAUCUCGGGAAACUGAGAAUAAUACUCCAUAGAUCUAGGCUGCUGGAAUGCAUCUAGAUUAAAAGCUCCGGCGCCUAAGGAUGGGUCUGCGGACUAUCAGGUUGUAGUCAGGGUAAAGACCUGACUAGCCUACGACGGAUAUGGGUUGUGAGAGCAAUAGCCCAGAGACGAUAUCUGAGACACGAUAUCGGGCCCUACGGGGCGCAGCAGGCGCGAAAUCUUCACAAUGUGCGAAAGCACGAUGAGGGAAUCCCAAGUGCUAGCACGUAAGUGUUAGCUGUUUCUUAGUCUAAAAAACUGAGAGAGUAAGGGCUGGGUAAGACGGGUGCCAGCCGCCGCGGUAAUACCUGCAGCUCAAGUGGUGGCCGCUAUUAUUGGGCCUAAAACGUCCGUAGCCUGUUUAGUAAAUGCUUGGGUAAAUUGUGUAGCUUAACUAUACGAAUACCGGGUAGACUGCUAAACUUGGGACCGGGAGAGGCUAGAGGUACUCCUGGGGUAGAGGUGAAAUUCUGUAAUCCUAGGGGGACCACCAGUGGCGAAGGCGUCUAGCUAGAACGGGUCUGACGGUGAGGGACGAAGCCCUGGGGCGCGAACCGGAUUAGAUACCCGGGUAGUCCAGGGUGUAAACGCUGCUUGCUUGAUGUUAGUUGGGCUCCGAGCCCAACUAGUGUCGGAGAGAAGUUGUUAAGCAAGCUGCCUGGGAAGUACGGUCGCAAGACUGAAACUUAAA